GAAAGUAACACAAAACAAAAA
rnacentral:snRNA from 1 species